rnacentral:rRNA from 1 species
UCCGAGUUGUAGAGGUGAAAUUCGUAGAUAUUCGGAGACACCAGUGGCGAAGCGGCUCACUGGAACUUGUAUUGACGCUGAGGUGCGAAAGCNUGGGGGAGCAAACAGGAUUAGAUACCUGGUAGUCCACGCCGUAAACGAUGAUAACUAGCUGUCCGGGCACUUGGUGCUUGGGUGGCGCAGCUAACGCAUUAAGUUAUCCGCCUGGGGAGUACGGUCGCAAGAUUAAAACUCAAAGGAAUUGACGGGGGCCUGCACAAGCGGUGGAGCACGUGGUUUAAUUCGAAGCAACGCGCAGAACCUUACCAGCGUUUGACAUGUCCGGACGAUUUCCAGAGAUGGAUCUCUUCCCUUCGGGGACUGGAACACAGGUGCUGCAUGGCUGUCGUCAGCUCGUGUCGUGAGAUGUUGGGUUAAGUCCCGCAACGAGCGCAACCCUCGCCUUUAGUUACCAUCAUUUAGUUGGGGACUCUAAAGGAACCGCCGGUGAUAAGCUGGAGGAAGGUGGGGAUGACGUCAAGUCCUCAUGGCCCUUACGCGCUGGGCUACACACGUGCUACAAUGGCGGUGACAGUGGGCAGCAAACUCGCGAGAGUGCGCUAAUCUCCAAAAGCCGUCUCAGUUCGGAUUGUUCUCUGCAACUCGAGAGCAUGAAGGCGGAAUCGCUAGUAAUCGCGGAUCAGCAUGCCGCGGUGAAUACGUUCCCAGGCCUUGUACACACCGCCCGUCACACCAUGGGAGUUGGGUUCACCCGAAGGCGUUGCGCUAACUCGCAAGAGAGGCAGGCGACCACGGUGGGCUUAGCGACUGGGGUGAAGUCGUAACAAGGUAGCCGUAGGGGAACCUGCGGCUGGAUCACCUCCUU